rnacentral:rRNA from 1 species
GGGCCCGCACAAGCGGUGGAGCAUGUGGUUUAAUUCGAUGAUACGCGAGGAACCUUACCAGGGCUUAAAUGUAACGGGACAGAUCUAGAGAUAGAUCCUUCUUCGGACUCAUUACAAGGUGCUGCAUGGUUGUCGUCAGCUCGUGCCGUGAGGUGUCAGGUUAAGUCCUAUAACGAGCGCAACCCCCAUCGUUAGUUGCCAACGAGUAAUGUCGGGAACUCUAACGAAACUGCCGGUGCAAACCGUGAGGAAGGUGGGGAUGACGUCAAAUCAUCACGGCCCUUACGUCCUGGCUACACACGUGCUACAAUGGUCGGUACAGAGAGCAGCCACUACGCGAGUAGGAGCA